GCGGAAAUAGUUUAAAGGUAGAAUAAGGGUCUCCAAAAUCUUUGGUAAAGGUUCAAAUCCUUUUUUCCGUG
rnacentral:tRNA from 1 species